rnacentral:rRNA from 1 species
CCUACGGGUGGCAACAGUCGAGAAUCAUUCACAAUGGGGGAAACCCUGAUGGUGCGACGCCGCGUGGGAGAAUGAAGGUCUUCGGAUUGUAAACCCCUGUCAUGUGGGAGCAAAUUAAAAAGAUAGUACCACAAGAGGAAGAGACGGCUAACUCUGUGCCAGCAGCCGCGGUAAUACAGAGGUCUCAAGCGUUGUUCGGAAUCACUGGGCGUCAAGCGUGCGUAGGCUGUUUCGUAAGUCGUGUGUGAAAGGCGCGGGCUCAACCCGCGGACGGCACAUGAUACUGCGAGACUAGAGUAAUGGAGGGGGAACCGGAAUUCUCGGUGUAGCAGUGAAAUGCGUAGAUAUCGAGAGGAACACUCGGGGCGAAGGCGGGUUCCUGGACAUUAACUGACGCUGAGGCACGAAGGCCAGGGGAGCGAAAGGGAUUAGAUACCCCAGUAGUC